GAUGAACGCUGGCGGCGUGCUUAACACAUGCAAGUCGAACGAUGAAGCCUAGUUUGCCGGGUGGAUUAGUGGCGAACGGGUGAGUAACAAGUGAGUAACCUGCCCUUAACUCUGGGAUAAGCCUGGGAAACUGGGUCUAAUACAGGAUAGGUGCGUACAUCGCACGGUGGGUGUUGGAAAGAUUUAUUGGUUUUGGAUGGACUCGCGUCCUAGCAGCUUGUUGGUGCGGUAAUGGCUCAUCAAGGCGACGAAGGGUAGCCGGCCUGAGAGGGUGACCGGCCACACUGGGACUGGGACACGGCCCGGACUCCAACGUGGGGCAGCGGUGGGGAUUUGUGCGCGAUGGGCGGAAGCCUUGAGCAGCGACGCCGCGUGAGGGAUGACGGCCUUCAGGUUGUAAAGCUCUUUCAGUAGGGAAGAAGCGAAAGUGACGGUACCUGCAGAGGAAGCACCGGCUAACUACGUG
rnacentral:rRNA from 1 species